rnacentral:rRNA from 1 species
GACGAACGCUGGCGGCGUGCUUAACACAUGCAAGUCGAACGGAAAGGCCCUGCUUUUGUGGGGUGCUCGAGUGGCGAACGGGUGAGUAACACGUGAGUAACCUGCCCUGGACUUUGGGAUAACUUCAGGAAACUGGGGCUAAUACCGGAUAGGAGCUCCUGCUGCAUGGUGGGGGUUGGAAAGUUUCGGCGGUUGGGGAUGGACUCGCGGCUUAUCAGCUUGUUGGUGGGGUAGUGGCUUACCAAGGCUUUGACGGGUAGCCGGCCUGAGAGGGGGACCGGCCACAUGACGACUGCGGGACGGACCAGAGUCGAACGGGAGGCAGCGGGGGGGAACCUGACACAGUGGUCCGGCGCGUGAUGCGGCAGUCUCCGGAGCGGGAUGCCCGCUAAGGUGUUGUAAACCGCAUUCGCCUGAGACGUAGCGGGAGUGACGGUAACGGCUAAAUAAGCACCGGCUAACUACGUG